GUCCGUGUGACACCUCCAGGUGACAUCGGCGUCCCCGUGCCACACCCGGGUGACAUCGGUGUCACUGUCCGGUGACAUCCGGGUGACAUCCGGGUGACAUCUGUGCCAGUGUCCGGGUGACAUCGGUGUCACUGUGCCAGCUCCGUGUCACACCUCCAUGUGACACCCAGGUGACAUCGGUGUCCCUGUCCCAGCUCUGGGUGACACCUCCAGGUGACAGCCGUGUCACUGUGCCAUCUCCAUGUCCUCGUGUCACACGCGUGUCACCGUGCCAGCUCCGUGUCACACCUCCA
rnacentral:lncRNA from 1 species